rnacentral:rRNA from 1 species
ACGGGUAGCCGGCCUGAGAGGGUGACCGGCCACACUGGGACUGAGACACGGCCCAGACUCCUACGGGAGGCAGCAGUGGGGAAUAUUGCACAAUGGGCGAAAGCCUGAUGCAGCAACGCCGCGUGAGGGAUGACGGCCUUCGGGUUGUAAACCUCUUUUAGCAGGGAAGAAGCGAAAGUGACGGUACCUGCAGAAAAAGCGCCGGCUAACUACGUGCCAGCAGCCGCGGUAAUACGUAGGGCGCAAGCGUUAUCCGGAAUUAUUGGGCGUAAAGAGCUCGUAGGCGGUUUGUCGCGUCUGCUGUGAAAUCCCGAGGCUCAACCUCGGGCCUGCAGUGGGUACGGGCAGACUAGAGUGCGGUAGGGGAGAUUGGAAUUCCUGGUGUAGCGGUGGAAUGCGCAGAUAUCAGGAGGAACACCGAUGGCGAAGGCAGAUCUCUGGGCCGUAACUGACGCUGAGGAGCGAAAGGGUGGGGAGCAA